rnacentral:rRNA from 1 species
AGUGAACGCUGGCGGUAGGCCUAACACAUGCAAGUCGAACGGCAGCACAGUAAGAGCUUGCUCUUACGGGUGGCGAGUGGCGGACGGGUGAGGAAUACAUCGGAAUCUACUUUUUCGUGGGGGAUAACGUAGGGAAACUUACGCUAAUACCGCAUACGACCUACGGGUGAAAGCAGGGGAUCUUCGGACCUUGCGCGAUUGAAUGAGCCGAUGUCGGAUUAGCUAGUUGGCGGGGUAAAGGCCCACCAAGGCGACGAUCCGUAGCUGGUCUGAGAGGAUGAUCAGCCACACUGGAACUGAGACACGGUCCAGACUCCUAAGGGAGGCAGCAGUGGGGAAUAUUGGACAAUGGGCGCAAGCCUGAUCCAGCCAUACCGCGUGGGUGAAGAAGGCCUUCGGGUUGUAAAGCCCUUUUGUUGGGAAAGAAAAGCAGCAGGUUAAUACCCCGCUGUUCUGACGGUACCAAAAGAAUAAGCACCGGCUAACUUCGUG